CUUUCUCUCCUUGGGUCGGGACGCGUCCGCAUUGGAACCCCUUGCGGACCCCACACCGCGACCCCAAAGUGGGGGACCCCGGCGCCCUUCGCCCCCCCACCCUGACCCCCCUUCUCGCCCCCCAGCCGCGGGGAACGCCUUCUGCCAGGCGGCGCAGCUCCACCUGCAGCUGCAGAGCAAGCACGACGCCGCCACCAACUUCGUGGACGCCGGCAACGCCUUCAAGAAAGCGGACCCCCAAGAGGCCAUUAAUUGCCUGAUCCGAGCCAUCGAGAUCUACACGGACAUGGGCCGCUUCACCAUCGCUGCCAAGCACCACAUCUCCAUCGCCGAGAUCUACGAGAGCGAGCUGGUGGAUGUGGAGAAGGUGAGCGGGGCGUAGGGCGCCGUGGUUUUGUGACCUUCAAGGACCUUUCCAACCCAGCCAGGGUAGGGUUCCGUGCUUCUGUGACCUUCAAGGACCUUUCCAACCCAGCCAGGGUAGGGUUCCGUGCUUCUGUGACCUUCAAGGACCCUCCCAACCCAACCAGUGUAGGGCUCCGUGGUUCUGUGACCUUCAAGGACCCUCCCAACCCAACUAGUGCAGGGUUCUACGGUUCUGUGACCUUCAAGGACUUUUCCAACCUAGCCAGGGUACAGUUCUGUGGUUCUGUGAGCUUCAAGGACCUUUCCAAGCCAGCCAGGGUAGGGUUCUGUGCUUCUGUGACCUUCAAGGACCCUCCCAACCCAACCAGUGUAGGGUUCUGUGGUUCUGUGACCUUCAAGGACCUUUCCAACCCAACCAGUGUAGGGUUCUGUGGUUCUGUGACCUUCAAGGACCCUCCCAACCCAACCAGUGUAGGGUUCUGUGGUUCUGUGACCUUCAAGGAUCUUUCCAACCCAGCCAGGGUAGGGUUCAACAGUUCUGUAAUCUGUAAGGACCUUUCUAACCCAACUGUAGCAGGAUUCCAUGGUUCCAUGACCUUUAAGGACCUUUCCAACCCACCUGUUUUAGAGUUCCAUGGUUCUGUGAUCUUUAAGGACC
rnacentral:lncRNA from 1 species